GUACUACCGACGAUACAUCACUCCACAUGUAAUUAAUGUCGGACAAAAAUGGUUCUGUCCAGAAAUUGCUACUUUCUGCCUCGUAGGCUUCUAACAAGGUAUCGGUAUGGAUAUCGGUCUUGGUAUUGGUUGUGGUACUAUUAUCGUCUGAACCCGAGUCUAAUUUGCUUGUUACAACUGUGUUAUCUGUAGUGAUGGAGGAGUUUUGAUCGCUUGAGGCUGGUUGUUGAGAUGAGAGUGAGCUUUCAAGUAUCAAAGGAGGAUUUGGGGAACUUAUUAGAAGAUGAUCAACGUCGUUUAGCUUUGUUUCUUCUUUCUCUCGACUUGUC
rnacentral:lncRNA from 1 species